rnacentral:lncRNA from 1 species
UAGCCACUGAGCAGGGUUAAAACUGGGAAGCAGGGUAAAACUGAAGUAGCCAUCUUAAAAUGCUUGGGGGGAAGUCUAUGCCUUACUAUGUUUCAAUCACAUUUCUAGAUCCCUGCCUACAGUCCAGGACCUCUGCUUUUGGUGCUUCCAGUCCAACAGGUGAAGCCACNACUGCCGUGACUCCAAGGAUCUGCUUUGAGUGAAGAUCCCUAGACCAACCUGAUGCCUUUGAGGAGAGGGCAGGAGGCUUGGGAGAAAGCAGUGAUCAGAGGGCCUGAUCCUGACAAUAUGAACCUCUCAAAUAUUCCAAAUACGUUGGCAAUCCUGGAUCAAGGGGACGCAAACGGGUUUUUCUACAGCUUAUUAACUGCAAACCACGGUGGGAGGAGUCGUAAACACAAGAAACUGUAAAUUGCUCAGAUGAUGAAAGCAAGCCAUUCAAGGGAUGUGUCCUAACAGAAAAAGGAAAG